UACGUAGGGUGCGAGCGUUAAUCGGAAUUACUGGGCGUAAAGCGUGCGUAGGCGGUUUCGCAAGUCAGAUGUGAAAUCCCCGGGCUUAACCUGGGAACUGCGUUUGAAACUACGGAGCUAGAGUGCGGCAGAGGGGGGUGGAAUUCCACGUGUAGCAGUGAAAUGCGUAGAUAUGUGGAGGAACACCGAUGGCGAAGGCAACCCCCUGGGUCGACACUGACGCUGAGGCACGAAAGCGUGGGGAGCAAACAGG
rnacentral:rRNA from 1 species